GAUGAACGCUAGCGACAGGCUUAACACAUGCAAGUCGAGGGACCGGCGCACGGGUGCGUAAUGCGUAUGCAACUUGCCUCACAGAGGGGGAUAACCCGUCGAAAGACGGACUAAUACCGCGUACUGUGAGAUCGGCAUGAGUUCCAUUAGCUUGUGGGUAAGGUAACGGCUGACCAAGGCAACGAUGGGUAGGGGAACUGAGAGGUUGAACCCCGACACUGAGACUGAGACACGGACCAGACGGCUACGGGAGGCAGCAGGGAGGAAUAUUGGUCAAUAGGCGAGAGCCUGAACCAGCCAAGUCGCGUGAAGGAUGACGGUCUAUGGAUUGUAAACUUCUUUUGUAGGGGAAUAUGUACCCUACGAAUAAGCAUCGGCUAACUCCGGGCCAGCCGCCGCGUAAUUC
rnacentral:rRNA from 1 species